UUACGAUCACAUCACGUUAAAACACCGGUUCCCAUACGAUCACCAAAGUUAAGCAACGUCGAGCCUGGUCGGUGCCUAGAUGGGUGACCGCUUGGGAAUACCAAGUGCUGUAAG